ACAACGGCUCUUUUAAGAGCCACCUACAGAUUCCCUAAAAAGGGAU
rfam:Anolis carolinensis unplaced genomic scaffold chrTn0208, whole genome shotgun sequence.